rnacentral:lncRNA from 1 species
GAGCAUCUCUGCCCAGCCGCCCGUCUAGGAAGCGAGCACCUCUGCCCGGCCGCCCCGUCUGGGAGGUGAGGAGCGCCUCUGCCCGGCCACCCCGUCUGGGAGGUGAGGAGCGCCUCUGCCCGGCCACCCAUCGUCUGGGAAGUGAGGAGCGCCUCUGCCUGACCGCCCCAUCUGGCAGGUGAGGAGCAUCUCUGCCCAGCUGCCCGUCUAGGAAGCGAGCACCUCUGCCUGGCCACCCCGUCUGGGAGGUGAGGAGCGCCUCUGCCUGGCCGCCCCAUCUGGGAGGUGCAGAGCGCCUCUGCCCGGCUGCCCCGCCUGGGAGGUGAGGAGUGCCUCUGCCCGGCCGACCCGCCUGGGAGUUGAGGAGCGCCUCUGCCCUGCCACCCCAUCUGGGAGGUGUACCCAACAGCUCCGAAGAGACAG